AUGGGAAACAGGUUAAUAUUCCUGUACUUGGUGUUACUGCGAAGGGGGGACGGAGAAGGCUAUGUUAGCCGGGCGACGGUUGUCCCGGUUUAAGCAUGUAGGCUGAUUAUCCAGGCAAAUCCGGAUAAUCAAGGCUGAGGUGUGAUGACGAGGCACUACGGUGCUGAAGUAACAAAUGCCCUGCUUCCAGGAAAAGCCUCUAAGCAUCAGGUAACAUCAAAUCGUACCCCAAACCGACACAGGUGGUCAGGUAGAGAAUACCAAGGCGCUUGAGAGAACUCGGGUGAAGGAACUAGGCAAAAUGGUGCCGUAACUUCGGGAGAAGGCACGCUGGUGUGUAGGUGAAGUCCCUGCGGAUGGAGCUGAGACCAGUCGAAGAUACCAGCUGGCUGCAACUGUUUAUUAAAAACACAGCACUGUGCAAACACGAAAGUGGACGUAUACGGUGUGACGCCUGCCCGGUGCCGGAAGGUUAAUUGAUGGGGUUAUCCGUAAGGAGAAGCUCUUGAUCGAAGCCCCGGUAAACGGCGGCCGUAACUAUAACGGUCCUAAGGUAGCGAAAUUCCUUGUCGGGUAAGUUCCGACCUGCACGAAUGGCGUAAUGAUGGCCAGGCUGUCUCCACCCGAGACUCAGUGAAAUUGAACUCGCUGUGAAGAUGCAGUGUACCCGCGGCAAGACGGAAAGACCCCGUGAACCUUUACUAUAGCUUGACACUGAACAUUGAGCCUUGAUGUGUAGGAUAGGUGGGAGGCUUUGAAGCGUGGACGCCAGUCUGCGUGGAGCCAACCUUGAAAUACCACCCUUUAAUGUUUGAUGUUCUAACGUUGGCCCCUGACCGGGGUUGCGGACAGUGUCUGGUGGGUAGUUUGACUGGGGCGGUCUCCUCCCAAAGCGUAACGGAGGAGCACGAAGGUUAGCUAAUCCUGGUCGGACAUCAGGAGGUUAGUGCAAUGGCAUAAGCUAGCUUGACUGCGAGCGUGACGGCGCGAGCAGGUGCGAAAGCAGGUCAUAGUGAUCCGGUGGUUCUGAAUGGAAGGGCCAUCGCUCAACGGAUAAAAGGUACUCCGGGGAUAACAGGCUGAUACCGCCCAAGAGUUCAUAUCGACGGCGGUGUUUGGCACCUCGAUGUCGGCUCAUCACAUCCUGGGGCUGAAGUAGGUCCCAAGGGUAUGGCUGUUCGCCAUUUAAAGUGGUACGCGAGCUGGGUUUAGAACGUCGUGAGACAGUUCGGUCCCUAUCUGCCGUGGGCGCUGGAGAAUUGAGGGGGGCUGCUCCUAGUACGAGAGGACCGGAGUGGACGCAUCACUGGUGUUCGGGUUGUCAUGCCAAUGGCACUGCCCGGUAGCUAAAUGCGGAAGAGAUAAGUGCUGAAAGCAUCUAAGCACGAAACUUGCCCCGAGAUGAGUUCUCCCUGAGACUUUAAGUCUCCUGAAGGAACGUUAAAGACGAUGACGUUGAUAGGCCGGGUGUGUAAGCGCAGCGAUGCGUUGAGCUAACCGGUACUAAUGAACCGUGAGGCUUAACCUUACAACGCCGAAG
rnacentral:rRNA from 1 species